rnacentral:rRNA from 1 species
UACGUAGGGCGCAAGCGUUGUCCGGAAUUAUUGGGCGUAAAGAGCUCGUAGGCGGCUUGUCACGUCGAUUGUGAAAGCCCGAGGCUUAACCUCGGGUCUGCAGUCGAUACGGGCUAGCUAGAGUGUGGUAGGGGAGAUCGGAAUUCCUGGUGUAGCGGUGAAAAUGCGCAGAUAUCAGGAGGAACACCGGUGGCGAAGGCGGAUCUCUGGGCCAUUACUGACGCUGAGGAGCGAAAGCGUGGGGAGCGAACAGG